AAUAGCUCUGGUUUUGGUGUGGCGUCUCAAAAAGAAGAAAGACACAGGAGGAGAAGGAAAUGCAGACAAUCCCCAACAGAACUCCAUAAACAGUAAUCAUCCACAUGAAGAAGAAGAAGAAGAAGAAGAAGAAGAAGAAGAAGAAGAAGAAGAAGAAGAAGAAGAGCUGGGUGGGAGUGUGAAAAUUGAACACAGAGACAGUUCAUCGGACACUGCAGAGGAAAGUUCCAGGUUCAAUGGAUGCUGACACAUUGUAAGUUGUACAUAAAUGAAUCGGUCCAAGGUGAAUUUUGGGCACUGUGCUCCAAAGUGAACAUCUGCUGGUCUGCAGCCUGCAUCACUAUCUUCCAGAGAUGUUACUGGACAGAGACUAGUCAGUCUGGAAUAACAGCUUGGAGCAAGUCCCGGACUAAGUCUGUAACGGCUCCAGGCUCUUCACUCAGAACUUCUGCUCCAUCUCUCUCACCUGGACAUUUUGCUGCUUGUACAGUGAGCUCUCCUUGUGUGGAACUCCUUAAAGGCCAACAUGUUCCCAUCCCUGUCAUUCCAAGCCACAGAUCACCCAGACAUCAUGUGUCUGAAGGCAGGUAUCAUCAGAGAGCUAACACCUGGCCCCCCUGCCCCCCCGGCCUCUUGCCUCUACUGAAGCCCCUCCUGACCAAGCUUCUGUCAGGACGGCUCUGCUCAACGCUCGCUCCCUUACCAACAAGACAUUUCUUCUCAAAGAUGGAUUUUUUUAGGGAAAAUUUGGAUUUUCGGAUCCUUGCUGAAACCUGGCAGAGGAAUACCGAGUAUUCAUCCAUUAAUGAACUUUGUCCUGCAGACUGUAGCUUCAUCAGGACACCGAGGCUGUCAGGCCGUGAUGGUGAUCUGGUAGUGAUUUUUAGAAAUAGCUUUAACUAUCGGUUGGUUAGCACCGAGACUGUCCUCUCAUUUGAACUCAAUAUGACUCGGAAAAAAGGAAAAUCCUGCAUUCUGCUCUUGCUGCUAACAUUUCGGUCCCUCUGGACCUUCGUCAAGAGUUUUCUUUAAUAAAUGGCGAUGCUGUAGCAAGAGCAGAGCGCGGGAUUUUCCUUUUUUCCAAGUUUGUGAUAUUUUCCAGUGCACCUGCACAGACGAAUUGUUGGAUGUGCAAAUUAUUUUUUCAAAUAAACUCAAUGUGACUAAAAUUGGUAAGUCAAAGCCUUUUUAUUUUAAUUUACUGACCUCACGGCCCAUCUGACCCUAUCCCGUCUGAUUUUACUGAGUUUUUAUCUUGAGUUAUAAAGUUGGACAUAGUUUUAAUUAUUAGUGAUUUUCAUGUUGAUGAUGCUUCUAAUGCUGCAUCUAAAUUUCUUGAUAUUACUGAGCUUUUUAACUUUAUACAACAUGUUUCUGGACCCACA